rnacentral:rRNA from 1 species
UACGAAGGGGGCUAGCGUUGUUCGGAAUUACUGGGCGUAAAGCGUGCGCAGGCGGCUUCUCAAGUCAGGGGUGAAAGCCCAGAGCUCGACUCUGGAAUUGCCUUUGAGACUGAGUGGCUUGAGUACGGGAGAGGUGAGUGGAAUUCCCAGUGUAGAGGUGAAAUUCGUAGAUAUUCGCAAGAACACCAGUGGCGAAGGCGGCUCACUGGCCCGGUACUGACGCUGAGGUGCGAAAGCGUGGGGAGCAAACAGG